rnacentral:lncRNA from 1 species
ACAUAUCUGUGGAUGACACCUGCAGUUUCAACACAGCAAAUUCCAAGGGAAGUCAGUCGAGUAAUCCUGAGGGUAAGGUUGCCAAGAGAAGAGCUAGAGCUGGGGAGAGUACCAGACCUAGACCAAAAGACAGACAACUGAUACAAGAUCGCGUUAAAGAAUUACGAGAGAUUGUCCCUAAUGGUGCAAAGGUAAUAGUCAAUCAAACACUUGCUUGUAAGUUUAUCAUGUUUUACAUCGAUCGAGACUGAAUGACUGAUCCCUUUUAUUCGUUUUUUUUUUACAACAGUGUAGCAUUGACGCUUUGUUGGAGCGAACAAUUAAGCAUAUGCUGUUUCUACAAAGUGUAAACAAAUAUGCAGAGAAAAUUAAGCAAGCUGAUGAACCAAAGGUAUCCUAUCUUUGUAUGUAUGCACAUAAAUUAUGUAUUGAUUAAAUGUUUCUUAUAAAGAAGUCCUCUAUUGUGACACAUGCUGACUUGUCAUGAUUGUUAAGAUAAUCGACAAAGAGAGUGGUGUUGUCUUGAAAGACAACCCAGAUGCUGGCAGAAAUGGUGGUGCCACGUGGGCCUACGAGGUUGCUGGGCAAACCAUGGUUUGCCCAAUAAUCAUUGAGGAUCUUUCACCACCUGGUCAGAUGCUUGUUGAGGUGAAAAACUGAACUUUAAGUAGCUUUAUCUACCUCUCUCUCUCUCUCUCUCUCUCUCUCUCUGCAGCAUAUGCAGAUAAUCGUUUGUCUAAUUUACAGAUGCUUUGCGAGGAACGUGGGCUCUUUCUGGAGAUAGCUGACAACAUACGUGGAUUUGGUCUCACGAUAUUGAAAGGACAGAUGGAGCUCCGUGAUGGCAAGAUAUGGUCGCGGUUUCUUGUUGAGGUAGAGAAGGAACCAUAUGUUCACAUUCCUCAUUUCUAGCUUCGCUAGUUGUUAAACUGUAUGCUGGCUUUUGUUUUUUCAGGCAAACAGAGAAGUCACAAGGAUGGAUAUAUUUUUGUCGCUUGUUAAGUUACUGGAACAGAACAGCCUUGUUCGAUCUACCGACCAAAUGGCUAAGGUCAUGAAUAAUGGGGUUCCAUCAUUUGCAAACCAUCAGCGAUCUCCAAUGCCAGUUCCAGUGGGCAUUGCUGAGAGACUACAGUGACUGCAAAAUGUUUCAACUAGAUAGUGUUAGGUACCACGACUGUAACAUAUCUGGUAGCCAGAACUCCAUGCAUUCGACAGAGCCUAGUGAAGUGAUAGUCUCACUGCUGCUAGAAAUGCCAGUAUCAAGAACAUGACUGAUGCAAACAUGAGCUUCUAGUGCAUAAAUUACGAACUUCCCUGAUUACUGGGGUGUGAUCAGUGAAGUGGCAUUCUUUCCUGCUUAGUUAGAAAUCUUAGGUUGACACCUUGCCCCAGAGUAGCUAGGCUCUUGAUACUGGUGUUUCUUAUGCAGUGAUGGCAGUGUAGUAAUGCUAGCUUGCAGUGCCAGAGCCUCAGAGGCUAUACCGGACUAUUACCCUCUCCCCCCUCAUUUUGUGAUUAUGAUCUGAAUGAUUAGCGAGUUACUUAUGCAAGAUAUCAGAGCUUAAAAUGUACUCGCUGAUCUCUCAAAAACCAAAACUUUCAUUUUAGAGGUACAUUUAUAUUGAACCAGUUCCCACUAGCACAACUCAUCUAUCACACGCUCAGAGCAAGAACAAAUGUGGAGCACUAUGGGAAACUACCAGCUAACACAAUUCCAAUGCUAAGCACUACAUUUCCUCAGGACCUCAGCAAAGAGAAUGGUAGCACAUGAUUCAUGCAUCCCCUUCCUCUUGGGUCAAUCUGACUACCUCGAUUACCAAUAAACUAAACUAGCCAGCAAUUUAAGUUAGUGCUAGUCGAACAACAUCUACUGAAACAAUCCUAAAAAAACUAAAGAGAAAGACAUCAGUACCUGUAAUCCAGCAAAUGCAUAUAGGGGCCCUGGGCUUUAUUUAUAGAAAUACAAAGGAACCAUCACAGAAAUCAAAGCGGUGGUCAAGGAAAACCACAUCAUAUCUUAGUCUUUUUUUUUCCUGCUGGUACUUUUUAGCAAUUGGCACCAUCUUGGAUAAUCAACAAAGCAACAAAAUACUGCUGCUUUCUUUUUUAUCUCCAUAUAUUCUUUGAUUUCUGAUGGAACUCCACACUAUCACAUCACUGUUAGUCAAUUAGUACCAAUCUAAAUUCCCACUGCUAUAAAGCAUGGAACCUAAGCUAACCUUUUAUUAAAAAAAAAUAAAGCAUGGAACCUAAACUAACCUUGACAGAAGCGUAUGGAUUGUGGGUGAAGGCGCACCCGUAACGCAUCCAUCAGCAAGGACAUCCGCGGGAAAGGCCCAUCUGCAGUACGGCACUAGAGUGCGUAGUAACCUGCAUAACGAGUUCUCGUCGUCUCACAUCUAUAAUCUAUUGAUGUGGCCGCACCGCCAGAUAUGGGGAGAGAAGGGGGAGGAGGUAGACAGCAAAGAUUAAGAGACGGAUUAGCAGAACCGAGACGGCGGAUGGUGAAGGAGAGGAGGCCAGGCCAGGCGGGCAGCGGCCCUUACCGUCGCCGUCGUCGGACGGGAAAGAGGGACUAGCGGAGAGCAGCCACAAAACUAAGAGAAACUUACCAAUAUCAGG